rnacentral:tRNA from 1 species
GAUAAGGUGGCUGAAUUUAGGCUAUAAAUUGUAAAUUUAUGUAUGAGGUUGACUCUCUUAUCA